UGUCGCCACGAUCGUUGUACGGUAAUUCCUGACGGUGUCCCGUCCACACCUGCGCCUGCACUGGCGCACCUGUGCGCGCCGCCACCGCUCCCCCAGCAUACUGGCACCGAAACGUUGUGCGCCGGCGGGUCGUAGUGGAAUAAAUAAAACAACUAAUAUAUGACUGCGACUACUUAGCUCACGGGCCACGGUCGCGGUGAAUGAAAUUUAAUAUUUUUUUUCCCCGUGUUGGCGCAGUGAAUUUUUUACCCACCACAACAACGACCCAUCGAUCAGAAUUUUCCCCCCUCGCCGCGCGAAUGCCACGGUUAUUAUUAUUAUUGUUUUUUACCACUCAGUAUUUUUUUUUACCGCCGCGCGACACCGCCGACGACUACACGCUAGCAGUCUCAAUAAACGCGCGCGUGCCGUCGUCGACUGAUCGCUGCCGCCGUCGCAUCUGUUGGCGGCGACACGAUUACGAUAACAUAGUUAAUUCGUAAUAAUUAACAUUAUUUAAUCGUUUUUGUUAUUUCGAUUCACCGUUUUAAAAAAUCCACGAAUUGCCGCCGUUUUACGCGGAUUUCUUAAAUAAUUAAGACCCCAUGUCAUUAUUAGUCUUCGUGAAAUGAUAUCAUCAACAACGCCAAAGAGGACAACGACGAAAACAACAACAAUAUUAUAAUAAUUAUAUGUAAAACCGUUUUAUCGGGAUUUUGUGUGUACGCUCGCGGUCGUUUCGUCCAGUAAAUCCGAUACAACGCUAUUAUCUGAACGUGAUAAGACAGUCCGUCCGUGUGCGUCUGCGAGUGUAUUUUUUAAUAAAUUUUUUUUACCGUAAUUCCGUUUCGGUUUUUUUUCUUUCGCUCACCGAUUUCUCCGAACUCGAAAUGCGUGUGCGUGAUUUUACGACGACCACGACUAACGCGUAUGUGUACGACCGACGACGUCGGCGCGGCGGCGGCUACACCGCCGAGGGCCGUAAUCGCUCGUAUUAUGUGUGUGUGUGUGUGUGUUGGGGGGAACGCGCGUCGUCAACGUCGUCAACGCGGCGACGGCCCUUUAUUGAUUUUUUGUAUUCGCGUGUCGUUCGGUUGUUGUUGUUGAUAAGGAGAGUGAAUUUUUUUCGUCGUCGGUCGAUAAAAUUUUUUGCGGGGGGGGGAGUUCCUCCCCCACUAGUUGUGGUCGUCCGUCAACCGCCACUACCGCCGCACCACCACUACCUCUUCCACCGUGGUUGCCUUCACUGCCUCUGGCCGCUGCUCAACGACGGCCGAUACAUGAAAAUAUUUACGGAACCGGAACUAAUGGCAGGAAAAGGCACACGCACGCACGCACGCAUAUUCGACACGCACACGAUGUGUAAACAAACAAACGUACGGAAGAUGGUGACCGAAAACGGCAACGAGCACGAAAAAGUCAUCGAUUUAGCGGGAUCCAAAACGACUGAAAAAUUCACGAAGACGAGGACUUAAACAACAACGACAAGCGGCAUCAUAGAACGCCGCUAACUGUACUUGCUCGCGUUUUCUGGUUUGGAUAGCUGCGAGUUCCAGAAGACAGAUAAAUAGUGUUCCGAGGAGCUUGAUCAGCAAAAAGUGUCUGUAUUAGAACGUAAUUAUCGUCUCGUCGUCGAAUUAACACUAGAUUAUCAUAAAUUGAUGACUUGAUGAGUGUUUAGUUCAUUUACUGAAUAAAAAUGAUACUAAUCCAAGAAUAAUUAUUGUUUAAAAAAUAAGCAUUUGGUAAAUACAUUCAACACAAAUGUUGUAUUUUGGUAUUUUCUUAUUGGCGAGACAUAAUUUUUGUUUAGAUAAGGUGAGCUAAUAUUGAUAAAUAAUUUUAGAAAAGUGUAAAACUUAUAAAUAAAUAUUAUCAAUAACUACUGGACAUUUUGAUUUUACUCAUAAUUUUAGUUUCUCGUAUUAUUAAAUAUAUCAAAAUAUUGAUUUGUUUAAUAUGUUGUGUGGAUUAUUUAUUAGAAAUUCAAUAUCUUAAACCUUUACUGUUGUUAAUGGGUAAUAUAUGAUUUUUAUUUAUGUUUUAAAAGUACCUAUUAUAAUUGUCAUAUUAUUAACUAGAAAACACUAUAUAUAUUAUAAAUGAUAUUUAAUAAUUUAGAAACAAUGCAUUAUUAAUUAAUUC